GGGCCCGCACAAGCGGUGGAGUAUGUGGUUUAAUUCGAUGCAACGCGAAGAACCUUACCUGGGUUUGACAUCCCGCCAAUCCUCCUGAAAGGGAGGAGUGCCCUUCGGGGAAAGCGGUGACAGGUGCUGCAUGGCUGUCGUCAGCUCGUGCCGUGAGGUGUUGGGUUAAGUCCCGCAACGAGCGCAACCCUUGUCUUUAGUUGCCAGCAGGUAACGCUGGGCACUCUAGAGAGACCGCCUCGGUCAACGGGGAGGAAGGUGGGGACGACGUCAAGUCAUCAUGGCCCUUACGCCCAGGGCUACACACGUACUACAAUGGCGGGUACAAUGGGCCGCGAGACCGCAAGGUGGAGCCAAUCCCAAAAAACCCGUCCCAGUCCGGAUCGGGGUCUGCAACUCGACCCCGUGAAGUCGGAAUCGCUAGUAAUCGGAGAUCAGCAUGCUCCGGUGAAUACGUUCCCGGGCCUU
rnacentral:rRNA from 1 species